ACGGGUGAGUAACGCGUGGGAACGUACCCUUUACUACGGAAUAACGCAGGGAAACUUGUGCUAAUACCGUAUGUGCCCUUCGGGGGAAAGAUUUAUCGGUAAGGGAUCGGCCCGCGUUGGAUUAGCUAGUUGGUGGGGUAAAGGCCUACCAAGGCGACGAUCCGUAGCUGGUCUGAGAGGAUGAUCAGCCACAUUGGGACUGAGACACGGCCCAAACUCCUACGGGAGGCAGCAGUGGGGAAUAUUGGACAAUGGGCGCAAGCCUGAUCCAGCCAUGCCGCGUGAGUGAUGAAGGCCCUAGGGUUGUAAAGCUCUUUCACCGGAGAAGAUAAUGACGGUAUCCGGAGAAGAAGCCCCGGCUAACUUCGUGCCAGCAGCCGCGGUAAUACGAAGGGGGCUAGCGUUGUCCGGAAUUACUGGGCGUAAAGCGCACGUAGGCGGACAUUUAAGUCAGGGGUGAAAUCCCAGAGCUCAACUCUGGAACUGCCUUUGAUACUGGGUGUCUUGAGUAUGGAAGAGGUGAGUGGAAUUCCGAGUGUAGAGGUGAAAUUCGUAGA
rnacentral:rRNA from 1 species